rnacentral:rRNA from 1 species
GACGAACGCUGGCGGCGUGCUUAACACAUGCAAGUCGAACGAUGAAGAAGAGAUACGCGAACUUCGGUUCAACUUUCACUUCGGAUUAGUGGCAGACGGGUGAGUAACGCGUGAGCAACCUACCUCUUACAAAGGGAUAGCCUCGGGCAACCGUGAUUAAUACCAUUUGACACAUUCAUAAGGCAUCUUAAGAAUGUUAAAGCUACGGCGGUAAGAGAUCGUCUCGCGUCCCAUUAGCUAGUUGGUGAGGUAACGGCACACCAAAGCGACGAUGGGUAACCGACCAGAGAGAGAAAGCGGUCACAUUUGACCAGAGACACGGUCCAAACUGCUACGGGAGGCAGCAGUCGGGAGUAGUGCCCAAUGACGGGAGCUCUGAGGCAGCGCCGCCGCGUGAGCUAUGUAGGAAUUCAAUUCGUAAAGCUCUGUUCUAUUGGAAGAAAAGGACGGUACCAAAGGAGAAAGCCCCGGCUAAAUACGUG